UAUCAUAAAAAUCGAAUUGCAAGUUUACCUGUUUUAGAUAGGGCUGUUGGGUGUUGGCUUAUAGAUGUGAUUCAGAGUGAUCAUUUCAUUUCUUUUUUGUUGCAAACUGUCCACUUCUGUAACAUGAUCGUUGUUAGUUUGUACUGUUUUCCAUUAGUAUUUCGGUGUGUAGCUUUCCUUUGAGUUACCCUUUUCUUUGUAAGCUUGGAUGGGGCUAAGGAGACCACUUCAUAGCUGAAAUAUUUAUACAUGCCUUUUAAGCAUUCAAUUUUCAAUUUUCGAUUUUGGCCUAGAGUUCAAUCGUUAUUGUUAGUUUGUACUGUUUUCCAUUAGUAUUUCCGUGUACAGCUUUCCUUUGAGUUAACCUUUUCCUUGUAUGCUUGGAUCGGGCUAAGGAGACCACUUCAUAGCUGAAAUAUUUUUGCGUGCGAUCAACUUGAAGAAGCUGACGUAUGAGGAAAGGAAAGCUAAGUUGAUUGAACGAUUACACACACUGAAUGCCGCUGCCGGUGCGGAUUCCAAAGACGAGGAUUGAAUGUAGGAUGCUGAUUUCAAAAAUACUGAACUUGUUUACCUGCUUUUAGUCAAAUCAGGGGUGGUUAUGUUCCAUUAUCUUCAAACAUCAGUUCAUCACAGAGAGGCUAAAUUCCUCUAUUCUAACAGGUUAAAUCCCAAAGUUCUCAAACCUUCAUCUUCAAUGGCCUGUCUUGAAUCAAAGUUAGUUGCCUGUAACAAGAACAAUGGAAGCCUACUUUGAUGCUUAUAAGAAUGUACAAAUCUCCAUAGCUUGAUGUUCCUUUUCUCUAAUAGCUUCUUCUGUAAUGUAUAUAAUUUCAAACAUAUGUGUAUCUCCUUGAAUUGAAAUGAUAAACAAGAGGAAACUUCUCUUGGCAAAGCCUUCAAUUGAGUUUACGCAACAGCUUAAGCUCAUGUGAGAAAAGAAGAGAAAUGUUAUAUGGUUUGUAAUAUGAAUUUUGGUGAUAUCGAACAUGUUUUCCAUUUCUUUUUAGGUUUAUCGUAAUUGUAAAUAUAACUGACACUAAACCAAUUAAUUGCUUGUAACGAAUACGAGUACUUAAAUCAAACUUUAUACGAGAUUGAUAAUAAGAUUGAUAAUAAGUGUCUUCAGAUUAAGCGCACAUAUCAUAUCUUGUUCAUUUCUUCUGGAGAUGAUGGGGCUUACAUACUUCAUACUUGAUCAAUCAAGAAAAGACAUGAAAGAAUCGUACAGGUAUUAAAUAUGACAUUUACUCUGUAUAUGUAUUAUAUUGCAGAUUGGGUAAAAGUUAAGGGACCAAUUUUGGUAUUAACCUUAAAUCUUAUAUAAAGGUACGGAAAUACGAAAUUACUUGUCUCUUGUCACAUUUAACACUAAUUUUUUGCAUCACUAGCCUUUCUACGAAAGCAUAGACAUUUCUCUUUCUUCACCGCCACUCAACGGCCGCCGUCAGCGUUCUCAGCUCGGCUUACCGGACCUCCUCUAUACUCAAGUCUUCAAAGUUUGCUCCGAAGGCAGACAUAAGCUAGUGAAGCCGAACCACAAAACAAAAGCGGAAAACACUCCGGUUCCUAUCGCCGGCCGUCGGACAGGUCUGUAGUUUUCUUAUCUUAUGGCGAUGUGUGUGGAAGACAGGAUCAGUAGUUUCCCUGAUCAUAUUCUGUCAUAUUUUGUCAUUCCUUCCCAUCGAAGAAGCAGUUCGAACCUCUAUUAUUUCAACCAAGUGGAGAUACCUCUUUGCUUCAAUUUCUACCAUUAAAUUUGAUGGUCAUUUAAUGAGGGGUUUGACUGACAGAAAUGUUGACAGCUUCAAGAACUUUGUUGAUAGGUUAUUGAAAUUCCCCGAUCAGGUAAGUUUAGAUUGCUUUAGGCUAGAUGAUAUUGUUUCAUGGAAUGAUAAAGAUCGUAAUUUUGAUGUUUCUGAUUGGAUAUGUGCUGCAUUGUGCCGUGGUGUUAAGGAAAUUGAUUUGGACUUAGACAAUCUUGGGGAUAUUUUACCAGCUCUUUUAUUCACUUGCCACUCACUGGUGACAUUGAAGUUGGUUGCAGUAGGUUCUGAGAUUACGGUCCCAUCUGACGUUUGUUUAGGGAAUCUGAAGACUUUGCAGCUUAGAAACGCCUCAUUUGUAGGUGAUUCCAUUCAUAGGUUAAUUUCCAAUUGCCAUGUCUUAGAAGAUUUGGCUUUUAUUCAUUGUGAUUCUGAUUAUUUGCGUGAGGUCAAUAUCCAAAGUCCUUCGCUUAAGAGAUUGGUUUUAGAUUUUGAUCUUGGAGAAUCUGGAAAUUUAGAUUAUGUGGUGGUGAUUAAUGCGCCAAAUCUUGUUUAUUUUCAAUAUACUGACGCAGUAGUUGAAGGCUAUACUUUGACUAACAUGAAGUCUCUAGAAAAAGCCCGUCUUAACAUCUGCGAGAAUGAUUCCAUUGAUUGUGAAACAAGUGCAACUCAUCUUAUUCAAGGAAUUCGCAGUGUGCGGUCUCUAAGUUUAACCACUGAUGAAGCGGUUAGUAAACUUAGUAUUCAUGUGUGAUUUUCCUUCUAACAUUAUACAAUUUAACAUUAUAUAAUAGCUCCAAGUUUUUGUCUGUCCAGAUUUUCCGAACAAGUCAACUUCCUAUAUUUCACAACCUUAUUGAAUUCGAAUAUGGUGGUCAUGGUUUUAAUGGGAUAGAAACUUGGCUUGUGGAGUUUCUACAUUGUGCGCCUAAUCUAGAGACACUUAACCUCAAUUUUCCGGUAUGAAGUCUUUAUCUAAGUUCGUGUGUAUUCGUUGCAGUUGAUUGUUUUAGUGUCAGUUACAUCCACAGUUACGAUAAAUUUAAAAGAAAUCGAAAGCAUGUUCGAGAUCACCUAAAUUCAUGGUACAAACCAAAUAACUUUUCUUCUUUUUUCAUGAGUUUAGGUUGAAGCGGGAACUCGAUGGAAGGCUUUACCUAUAGAAGUUCCUUCUUGUUUGUCAUUUCAUCUAAAGGAGAUUGAAAUUUCAUGCUUUGUGACACAUAUGAUUGAAAUGGUUAGUUAUUUCUUGGAUAAUGCAAUGGUUUUGGAAAAUCUCAUAAUAAGAACGAAGGGCCUGUCUGUGACACAGACAAGGAAAGUCAGCAACCAAUUAUUGCAGUUACUAAAGAGUUCAAAGAAAUGUCUAAUUGUGAUUUUGUAGUACUGUUUUAUAUUAUGGUUAGAACUUAUCAGUGUCUGAUUUGGUUUUGUAUAGAUGUGUUGUUUGUAAUACAUAUUUCACUGUUACUAUCCGAUACAUUCACUAAUCGCAGUAGACUAUACCUGAUGGUUGGUUUAUAUGUAUGUGUAUGUAUACUUGUGUAUAUAAUGUAUUGUAGCCGAAAGUAGCCUUUGAAAUUGAUAUUUAGCCCAAUGAUUAGCAAAAUAGAACCAUAUUUUAAUUUGUAAGAAACAAUCGUAUGAUAUGCGUUACACAACAAGCUCUGAUAGGAAGAAUAUCAGAUUGAUUUGGAGCUAUUUUAGAACAAGAAAAAGGGGAGCUCUCUAGCUAUAGAGAUUUGUACAUUCUUACCAACAGCAAAGGAUGCUUCCCUUGUUCCUGUUAUAGGCUAGCUUUGGUUCAACACAGGCCAUUGAAGAUGAAGGUUUGAGAACUUGAGAUUUUAGCAUGCUAGAAUACUGGAAUUUAGCUUUCCUAGGACUGAAAUGAUGUUUAAAUGAUGCUUGCGCCUUACAGGUCAGUCAGUGUUGAACAGUUUUCGAAGGCAACUGAAUUGUCAGAUUCUUGUGAAAUGCAAAUUCGGUUGAGUCAAAAUAUUUUAAUUUAAUAGGGGUUUGGAUUUUUAUUUUUAUUUUUUGCAUUUUUGUGGCUGAAAAUUAUAAAUUUUAUAAUCUAAUCCAUCUUUCCUCUCUUAUUUGCUAGCAACUUUUGAUGUAUUUAUGGUGUUCUUGUGAUUGAAUGUCACAAAUAUGCUAGCAACUUAUGAUUUUAUCGAAAUUUUGAAUAAUCCAAUGAUGAUUUUAUAAUUUUUCAAAAUUUAAUGUUUAAAAUGUAUAUUUACUAAAAGAUUAGUAAUUUUGGAUUUAGUUUAUACAAAACCAAAUCAGGUACCAAUAAGUUUUAACCAUAACAUAAAAUAGUACAAAGAAACCCCUACAGUGUAAGCAAAUUUUACUCUAAUACACUCCUAUAAUAUUCACAAUACACAAUGAUAGAAAUUUCUUGGUAGAAGUACCAUCAAGGUCCCUCUACUAAGAGUUAAAUUACAUUUUGCCUCUUUUAUUUAAGAAAAUGAGUAAAUUAGUCUCGUUAUAUUAGAUCAAAAAGCAUAUUGAUUAUUUUUGCUAAAAAUAUCAUCCCUAAAACCAGACAUGACUGACAAAAUAAUCAUGUUACGACUCACAUGUAUCUCAAGCUAAUGACUUAUAAGAAUAAAUUUUUAAUAGUAGGAAUGGAUGAAAAUUUUAAUAGAAAGAUCAAUUUACUUUUUAAUUUAACAUAUAAGAAUAAAUUUACUUAUUUUUUUAGGUAAAGGGGUCAAAAUAUAAUUUAACUUUUAGUAAAAAGGCCUUGAUGAUACUUUUCCCAAAUUAGUUUAGAGUUGAUAUUAUCAAAACUGACAGACCUGUAAGGCGCAAGCUUUGGUAUCAAUGGUGUGAGUUCUAUAAUCAAAUUAAGGGAUCUUCAAACAUUAUUUCAUUCCUAGAGAAUCUAAAUUCCAGUAUUCUGGCAGGCUAAAAUCUAAAGCUCUCAAACCUUCAUUUCCAAUGACCUGUGUUGAAUCAAAGCUAGCCUACAACAGGAACACUGGAAGCGUAGGCUUUCUUUUGGUUACGAUACAUAUAUAUUUAUGCAUAUACUUUUGUUUGAAUUCGUUGGUAACUGCAAUAACUGUUUGCAAACUUUCCAUUACCGUCUCCCAGACAGGGUUCACAUCCUUAUCAUGAGCUUUUCCAGUACCAUUGCAUUAUCAAAGAAAUAAGUAAUCAUUUCAAACAAACAAGAAGGACCUUGUAUAGGUAAAACCUUCCAUGGGGUUUCCACACCAUCCUAAACUCAUGAAAAAAGAAGAAUAGUGAUUUUGUUUGUACCAUGAAGUUAAGGUGAUCUCGAACAUGCUUUUGGUUUCUUCUAAGUUCAUCGUACUAGAACAAUCAAUUUCAUACCAGCAGAGUGAGGGUAAGUGUCAUGGCAAGUAAAUGAAAGAGCUGGUGAAGUGAGAACAUCCCCAAUAUUAGCUAAAUGUAAAUCACUUUCCUUAACAUCAUGGCACAAUGCAGUCAUUCCAAGAAAUCCCAUACCCGAUUGGGGGAUUUCAAUAACCUAUCAACAAAGUUGUUGAAGCUGUUAACAUUUCUGUCAGUCAAACUUCAAUGCGUUGCUAUCAUGUUCCUUAUUGCAGGAGGUGGAGCAGGAUCAAUAUGGUCGCAUUACAACAUGUAAGAUGAAUGAUUUAGUUCAUGAUCUUGCAAAUCCAUUUCUCAUAUUAGACAAGAAAAUGUUGUCAAUGGUGUGGGAUUGUGGCACUCUUUGUUCUUCGAGUCUAGCUCCAUCCGUGCUGUAAGGGACUUCAAAAGCUUACGAGUUCUUAUUUUUUGUGAGUCUCCUUGUCACUCUCUAUUGGCAGGCUAAAGCAUUUAAGAUACUUUGAGAUUUCAAGAACUUACAUAUGUAGAUUACCAAAGUCAUCAGCCAGCUCUACCAUUUGCAGACAUUCAAGAUUAUUUGGUUUUCAAGGGUGCUUGCCUGAAGGGACGGAACUACUUGUUCCAGUUACUAACCAAUUUGGUCUGAUCUGGUUGAACUAUGUAAGGUGACAUCCAAUCAUCCAUGUCGUAAUAAACUGACCAACCUGUGAAGCACAAGCAUUGGUGGUGUGAGUUCCAUAGUCAAAUCAGGGGUGGUGAUGUCUCAUUAUCUUCAAACAUCAAUUCAUCACAGAGAGGCUAAAUUUCAGUAUUCUAACAGGCUAAAUCCCAAAGUUCUCAAACCUUCAUUUUCAAUGGCC
rnacentral:lncRNA from 1 species